rnacentral:rRNA from 1 species
CGCAACUUUUUCCCUGUCCCCCGGUCUUUAGCGCUCGCGGGAUGCGUUCACGCUCUCCCCGGGGGCUUGGCACCCGCGCGUUGCGUUAUCGGA